rnacentral:tRNA from 1 species
GGCUUGUGGCUCAGUGGCAGAGCACUCACCUAGCACAUGUGAGGCCCUGGGUUCGAUCCUUAGCACCA